GUUAAGCGACUAAGCGUACACGGUGGAUGCCCUGGCAGUCAGAGGCGAUGAAGGACGUGCUAAUCUGCGAUAAGCGUCGGUAAGGUGAUAUGAACCGUUAUAACCGGCGAUUUCCGAAUGGGGAAACCCAGUGUGAUUCGUCACACUAUCAUUAACUGAAUCCAUAGGUUAAUGAGGCGAACCGGGGGAACUGAAACAUCUAAGUACCCCGAGGAAAAGAAAUCAACCGAGAUUCCCCCAGUAGCGGCGAGCGAACGGGGAGCAGCCCAGAGCCUGAAUCAGUGUGUGUGUUAGUGGAAGCGUCUGGAAAGGCGUGCGAUACAGGGUGACAGCCCCGUACACAAAAAUGCACAUACUGUGAGCUCGAUGAGUAGGGCGGGACACGUGGUAUCCUGUCUGAAUAUGGGGGGACCAUCCUCCAAGGCUAAAUACUCCUGACUGACCGAUAGUGAACCAGUACCGUGAGGGAAAGGCGAAAAGAACCCCGGCGAGGGGAGUGAAAAAGAACCUGAAACCGUGUACGUACAAGCAGUGGGAGCACGCUUAGGCGUGUGACUGCGUACCUUUUGUAUAAUGGGUCAGCGACUUAUAUUCUGUAGCAAGGUUAACCGAAUAGGGGAGCCGAAGGGAAACCGAGUCUUAACUGGGCGUUAAGUUGCAGGGUAUAGACCCGAAACCCGGUGAUCUAGCCAUGGGCAGGUUGAAGGUUGGGUAACACUAACUGGAGGACCGAACCGACUAAUGUUGAAAAAUUAGCGGAUGACUUGUGGCUGGGGGUGAAAGGCCAAUCAAACCGGGAGAUAGCUGGUUCUCCCCGAAAGCUAUUUAGGUAGCGCCUCGUGAAUUCAUCUCCGGGGGUAGAGCACUGUUUCGGCAAGGGGGUCAUCCCGACUUACCAACCCGAUGCAAACUGCGAAUACCGGAGAAUGUUAUCACGGGAGACAC
rnacentral:rRNA from 2 species